CUUCUACUCCCUCCGUCCGGAAAUACUUGUCAUACAUCCGGAAAUACUUGUCAUCAAAAUGGAUGUAUGACAAGUAUUUCCGGACGGAGGGAGUACAAA
rfam:Triticum urartu cultivar G1812 contig252532, whole genome shotgun sequence.